rnacentral:rRNA from 1 species
CAAUAGUGUAUAUUAAGGUUGUUGCAGUUAAAAAGCUCGUAGUUGGAUUUCUGGUAGGAGUGACCGUUCCGAACUUGAUUGUUCGUGUAUUGUGUUUUCUCCAGCCAUCCUUGUGGAGAACUUUUCUUGCAUUAAUUUGUAGGGAUUGGGACCCGCAUCGUUUACUGUGAAAAAAUUAGAGUGUUUAAAGCAGGCAAUCGCUUGAAUACAUUAGCAUGGAAUAAUAAGAUAGGACUUUGGUACUAUUUUGUUGGUUUGCAUACCAAAUUAAUGAUCAACAGGAACAGUUUGAGGAUAUUCGUAUGAACAUGUCAGAGGUGAAAUUCUUGGAUUUUGAUCAGACGAACUACUGCGAAAGCAUUUAUCAAGGAUGUUUUCAUUAA